CACCAUUGGAUGAAGACAUAAUGGGUCAAGUGAAUGGCGCCUUGCAUUGGAGCCCUUGGAUCAUCAUCAUGAAAGAUCAAGAGGUGAGGCGUGAUGGACAUAUGAUUAGCAUGUGAUAUUGACUUGGUCAAAAUAUGGCACCACAUGAAAGGACAUAUCAUUUGAUACACCUCCUCACUUGAUCUGCACCUCCUCUUAUUUGAUAUGGCCCUUUAGAUGAUGCCCUUUCAUGAGAGGAUGUGUGGAUGGGAUGCAUCCCUUGGAGAUGCAUCCCUACACCUAUUAUAAAUAGGUUAGCACUCCAUGGGUUUCAUCAUUCCAAUUCCACCCCACUCCUCUUUUCUUU
rnacentral:lncRNA from 1 species